CACCUCCCAUGAAUAGAAGCACUGUAAUAGGAAGGGGCUGCUGGUGCUAAUGCUCAUGAGCAGCCAGGGAGGUUACAGGGAGAGCUAUUGGUGGCAGUGGUUGGGUUUUCUGCAUGGCAAUUAAACAUUUCUCAGUAUGUGAAAUGAAGGAAACAAAGCAAUGUUCAAAUGACCCCUUAAACUUCAUAGUCCAAGAUGUUUAAAAAAAAUCUUUCAUCAUAUACUGAUAGAGAGCAGCUGCUGCCACCCCAAGCAGUAGUAAUUCACAGACCUGAGACGCACGUGGUUUUCACUUGUUUUCUGAUUCCAUCAAAAACACACGCUUACCAUGGCAACCUCUUCAUUACGUGUCAGGAUACAAUUCAAGCAGGAAGGGUUCUCUUCAAGAGCCCUCUAAGGUCACUGUUGCACUAGAAUCUUUCAGGGACAGAACGUACACAGCUCAUGGAGAGAGGUGCUUUGUGACGCUAUAAAGCCAACAGAGCGCAUUACUUUUGCAGAAGCAGACUAACAUUUUUCCUUGGGUGGAAGUUCUUCUUCCCCCUCCCAAACACAUAACAGUUCCAGGACAGAAAAAUCACAGUUCACUUCCCCAAAGCCAAAACCCAAGAGAAAGCAGCAUUCAUGAAAUUCUACAAGAGUUAAAACAAUUUGUAGAACAAGCACGUUCAGAUCCGAGAUGAAAGGCAAAACCAGAAGGAAGACGCACACCAGUGUGGGUGCCGAGGAGCUCUGAGCAGGACAGACAGGAGCCCUGCAGCACAUGGGGUGCACUGCGGGAUGCUGCCAGCCUGGGACUAACAUUGCUGCGUGAUGGAGAGAGUAAACACCGUCGUGACAGCUCUCAGUGCCUAGGAAGCAGUUUCAGAAGUGGAAGUGCCAGCACCUGAGAGCAUCACUAAAACAGUACCAUUGCUGAGAAGCAUUCUGCAUGGCUUGAGCUGCAUGGCUUCUCCAGACCAAACUCUGUCCAAUAAACUUAAAGACUUCCUCUGCACGUAAAGCUGGGCGUGAAGACUGCAUUUGGGAUUUUGCAUGGCAGCUUACCUGAAGCAAAGGAAACUUGCCAGAGGUGGGCUAAGGAGCCAGGAGUUCCUUGCUCUGUGGGCUAACAAGCAGUGGUGUCACAGCAGCAGCUGUGCCCAGUGGGGUCACGGCAGCAGCACCAUCACACACCAAACACUACAGUGCUCCAUCACAGACCUCCAUUGGCACAGCCGUACACCAGGGAGAGGAAUCAGAAGCACAUCCCUGAGGGUUAAGCUGAGGACACUGCUCCUGACUGCCUUUAGAUCAUCAUUAAUUCAAGGACAUUGAAAAAAAUAUAUAUACUUUAAUGAAACAUAAGCCACAAGCCUUUCUAUUGCAAAAAGAAUGGUUGGAUGCCACAUCGCUGGGGCACUGCAGCACCAGGAGGUGGAGAUGCCUCGCACCAGAGCAGAGCUGUGCAGAUGAGGGCAGCCUGCAGUGCUGCUGAGCACCAUAACUGCAUUUCAGCUUUUUUGCUGGAAUAAUUCAUCUCUGGCACUUUAGGAAGUCACCAAACGGAACUGAGUAAAGAGAAAUAAUUGCCUUCUAUCCAAAUGAAUACAGAUGUAUGAUUAACAAGACACGGAAUUUUUAUAAUUCUCUAUAUAAAUAGAGUUGCUGCAUACAGGCAGAGCCUGUGAAUCAUUCAUUUGCUUUAUGAGAUUGAAUAAGCUUCAGCUCUACCAACACGAUCAUCACCAAAGAAACAAGAGCAACACUGCGAGAAAUUGUUCAUCAUGGAUUCAUUUAACAGCAUUAUUGUUUCAAUUAGACAGAAACCAAAAUGUGUAACUUCAAGUUAAUCCAGAAAUGAUCAGUUUUAGGUGAGGUGUAAGACAGCAACGCUGUCCUAACACCAACAUGCUGAGCAGUGCCUCAUGCUCCUCACAAGGAAGCCAGCAGGAACCCGAGGAAGAACGCCACACACUGUGCUGCCCAAGAUAUCCCACCCCAGCUUUCCAUGGAAGCCCAUCUUCAGAGCAGCUCCAGCUCCACUGUG